rnacentral:rRNA from 1 species
GACGAACCGUGCGACCGUUGUUCGGAAUCACUGGGCUUAAAGGGCGCGUAGGCGGGCUGACAAGUCUGGGGUGAAAUGCCGCGGCUCAACCGUGGAACUGCCUCAGAUACUGUCGGCCUCGAGGAAGGUAGGGGCAUGCGGAACUGUAGGUGGAGCGGUGAAAUGCGUUGAUAUCUACAGGAACUCCGGUGGCGAAAGCGGCGUGCUGGACCUUUUCUGACGCUGAGGCGCGAAAGCUAGGGGAGCAAACGGG